GCGUUGUCCGGAUUUAUUGGGCGUAAAGAGCGCGUAGGCGGCCAACCACGUCGGAUGUGAAAGCUCGGGGCUCAACCCUGAGACGCCAUUCGAUACGGGUCGGCUAGAGGCAGGUAGGGGAAAGUGGAAUUCCUGGUGUAGCGGUGAAAUGCGCAGAUAUCAGGAGGAACACCGGUGGCGAAGGCGGCUUUCUGGGCCUGUCCUGACGCUGAGGCGCGAAAGCUGG
rnacentral:rRNA from 1 species